CUAUUUCAUCUUGUAUUCUCUUCUUCUUCUUCUUCUUCUUCUCUUCUCAUUUCCUUCUUAUCCUCUCCGCGUCGACGAUUCUGAGAGAUUUGAAAGAUGAAAUUAAUUUAUGAUAUCAUGAGGUAGAGGUUGGUGGUGAUGUUUUGGUUGAUUGAGCAAGGAAUGAAGAAGAUAGAGUUUAUCUUGUAAAUCGAAGUUACAGUUUCUGAUGUUAGGGUUUCUGGAAGAGUUCGAGAAAGAAUUGGAAGAUGAAUUUGAUGUUUUAGGAAAGAGAUCUAAGAUGGGUUAUGUUGUUUUGUUGAGGUGAAGACUUCUUCUGAAGAAUCGAUAAAAAUUAAUUAGGGUUUCUGAAUUUGAAUUUGGGAUUCAAUUAACGGUGAAUAAGAAGGAUUUACAGGAGGGGUUUGCUAGAUUGGAGGACUUUGAUUCAUGUUUUGAGUUUUAAAUAAAGAAUAGAAGAUCUGGGAAUUGAAUUAGGGUUCGUGAGAAAAUCCAAGGGAGAUGAAAUUGAGGAUGUUAUUGAGUAAUUGAUGAUGGGUUUUAUGUUAACUGAAUUAUAAAGAAGAAUCCAAAGCAGAAUUGAUGAUGGUGCUGAAGUUGUUGAACUCAGGAAACCGAGAGAAGGUAAACCAAGUAACUUCGAUUCAGAUUUUCUUAUUUUGAAUUUGAAUUAAAAGAGUUGAUUUCUGAAUAUGAGGUUCGAUAGAAUUGUUAUGGUUGUGGUUGAGUUAAAUUAAGAUAUGUUGUAUGAUUAUUGUCUUGGACAGGGGUUGAGAAUAAUUUAUGUUGAUUGUGAAGAUUAUGGAACUGUAGAAGAUGAAGGAGGAUUAAAUGGAAGAUAGGUUUGUGAUUCAAUUUCUAGUGAAAUUAAAAUGAGAAAGAGAUGGGUUUAUUUGUCUGGAGUUUGAGUUACAGUUAAGAAUGUAGUAUAGGUCUAAAUGGGUGUUUCAAAUGGGGUUUGAGAUUGUAUUGCAGUUCAAUGAGAUAUAGAGUUGCAAUCAUAACUUAGAGGUAUUUGUGUUACAUCCCAUGGGUUCGCAGUGAUAUUGAAGUACAAGCGGUGUGAAUGAACUGUGAUUGAGAAUAACUAGUUGUGAAAGAGUAUUGCUGAUUUGAGUUGAUGUUGCAAUCUUGGUAGGAUUAGAAGAUAAUAUUUGAGCUAGAUGAAUCUGAGCUACAGCUGUAGGAGUUGAACUAUUGCUGACAGUGGUGGCCUAAUGGAUUCAAGGAUGCUGAGAUGGAGAUACAAUUGGUGUUAGUCUAUGAGAUGAUGAAGUUGCAGAUUGUGUAGGCGGUAAUGAGAUGGGGAUAUUGAUUGUUGCAGUGAGAAUUGUAGUUGAAGUUUAAAUGAAUGGGUUCAGGUUUGAAAUGUUGGUUUGUAUUGCAAGAAAUGCAAGCGGGAAAUGAAUAGAAAUGGUGAUGAGACUGAGAUUAAGCUUAGUUUGAAUGAAGAGAAGUUAAAUGGUUUUAAAUAGUGUUGGCUGUGAAAAGCUUGGAACUGCCUUUUGCAGGAUGAACCCGUGGAUCGUGGAUCUCGAGGUAGGCCUGGCUUGUCAUCAAAAGAGGGAUUUCAACCCUAGUCAAUUUCAUCUCUAAUCACCACCACCAGGUCUACCACGAAGAAUUAUCGAUCUUGAUAGAAAACGACCAGUUAGUGUGUGAUUUUGGAAGCAGAAGCUCAUCUGACUAUCUAAUUAGUACUAGAGUACUCGAUUGAGGAAAUCCAAUUUCCACUGCGAGGAUACCAGUGCACACAUCGAUUUAUGCCACCAAGUUGUGAUUCAUAAGUGCUUCCCUUAGGUAUGCUAUCCACUACCACUAACCAGUUCAUAUCUUAUACUCCAUUGACAACAAUAUCCUGAUAUUUCCAGUAGACUGAAGUUUUUGAAAGAAUCCAAGAUUAAGAAAGAAUAAGGGAGUUUGGAGGGUUCUACAGUUCUACUUAUCUUAUGUUUUGGUUUCUAUUUUCUUUCAGUCACACGUUACUACAUCUUUUUUAAUAUUUUCAAGACAUUGUUUGCUUGGUUUGCUAGUAAUAUUGCUACUUAGUAGUUGUUGCUUUGAAUGAGAAUUUGAGAUAUU